UGAAUGAGUAGGUGUGUCCAAGCUUUUGACUGGUACUGUAUAUAUAUAUUUUUUUUAAAUAUUUUUUUAUUUGUAUUAUUUUUAAACAUUUAUUUUACAAUCACAAGAGGGCUUUUUGACCAAUCACAAGUGGGGCGCCAACCCUAACACCCUAAUGGGCAGGCAACCCCCGGCUGUCCCCCCCUUCCUCCCCUUCCUCACCCAACUUGGACACGUCCGUCUCUAAUCGCUGGUAACCGGGCUAGUCGCAUGGACAGCUCCAUCACAUUGAAUGAGAAUUGUUCUGGCAGUGAAGAUGAAUGGUCUCAUCAGGGAGAGAUCUCUCAUGUCUGCAAAAUAUAUCCUGUUUCCACCCAGGUAAUCAUCAUCCCUAGCAGCCCUGUCACUAUUACAACUGCUUGAGAAGUGUUACUGGUGUUACUACUGUCUGUCUGUCAGUCAGUCUGUCAGUCUAAUCGCUGCUCCUCCUGGUGCGACCACAACAGUGCCCAAGACAUCAUCCACAGAUCUCAUCAUCUCAGCCUGAUAGGUGUGGCCCACCCGGGGGUAUGCGAGGCAGGUCAUUAGGAAAUGUAAAAUUAGAGAACAUAUGUUAUUUAUAUUUGCUUGUUUGUUUGAACGUUUGAAUAAAUAUGUAUACAUUUUAUAAUACAUUUCA